rnacentral:snoRNA from 1 species
UGGACCAAUGAUGGGAAUGUGUCAUGAACUAAGGGUAUGAAUUGAUCCAGUUCUGAGCACCAGAUAUCCAUU